UACGUAGGGCGCAAGCGUUAUCCGGAAUUAUUGGGCGUAAAGAGCUCGUAGGCGGUUUGUCGCGUCUGCCGUGAAAGUCCGGGGCUCAACUCCGGAUCUGCGGUGGGUACGGGCAGACUAGAGUGAUGUAGGGGAGACUGGAAUUCCUGGUGUAGCGGUGAAAUGCGCAGAUAUCAGGAGGAACACCGAUGGCGAAGGCGGCUAUCUGGACCGACAUUGACGCUGAGGCGCGAAAGCGUGGGGAGCAAACAGG
rnacentral:rRNA from 1 species